rnacentral:rRNA from 1 species
GUUACCCUACGGGGCGCAGCAGUGGGGAAUCUUCCGCAAUGGGCGAAAGCCUGACGGAGCAAUGCUGCGUGAGUGAAGAAGGCCUUCGGGUUGUAAAACUCUGUCCUUAUCGAAGAGAGGUGGGUAUGUGAAUAAUGUACCCAUAGGACGGUAGGUAAGGAGGAAGCCCCGGCUAACUACGUGCCAGCAGCCGCGGUAAUACGUAGGGGGCGAGCGUUGUCCGGAAUCACUGGGCGUAAAGGGCGCGUAGCCGGUU